AUGGAUAGAGGCGCGGCUGAGAUGAGUAGCCAUCCCGUCACAGGCAUUGAGGAUGGACGAAAGGCGAUGCCGCCGAGGGGUUGCUGUCGCUGCCUGAGCGAUGCAAUGCCCGGGCUGCCGGAGAAUAUCCGGCGGACUGUCGCCCGUUCGCGGGCGGAGAGCUGUCA
rnacentral:ncRNA from 1 species